rnacentral:misc_RNA from 1 species
GAUGAAGAACGCAGCGAAAUGCGAUAAGUAGUGUGAAUUGCAGAAUUCAGUGAAUCAUCGAAUCUUUGAACGCACAUUGCGCCCCUUGGUAUUCCAUGGGGCAUGCCUGUUCGAGCGUCAUUUGUACCUUCAAGCUCUGCUUGGUGUUGGGCGUUUGUCUCGCCUCUGCGUGUAGACUCGCCUCAAAACAAUUGGCAGCCGGCGUAUUGAUUUCGGAGCGCAGUACAUCUCGCGCUUUGCACUCAUAACGACGACGUCCAAAAGUACAUUUUUACACUCUUGACCUCGGAUCAGGUAGGGAUACCCGCUGAACUUAAGCAUAUCAAUAAGCGGAGGA